rnacentral:misc_RNA from 1 species
UUGGGGCCCUUCUUGCCCGCACGUCUAGAUCUAGGCGAUGAUGGUGCACAUGCACAUGUGGGGUGGCAGGCUCUCCCCGUUGCCGGCAUCGACAACGUCUCCUGCGGCGGCAUUUGCUUCCUCCUAGACGGCACCUUCAUCUGCACGGCCGCGCGGCGACUCACAGAGUGGUGGUGGAUGUUACGGCGUCCAUGGGCGGAUGGGGAGUGGAUGGGGGACUGCUCCCCUACACCCAGCUCCGGGUUCUUGUGCCUCAGGUACCGGACUCGUCGACAUCGGGGAAAAUCUUUAGGCCUGGCCUUUGUUGUUUGUGCUUGA